GACGAAGGGGGCUAGCGUUGUUCGGAAUUACUGGGCGUAAAGCGCGUGUAGGCGGUUAUCCAAGUCGGGUGUGAAAGCCUUGAGCUCAACUCAAGAAAUGCACUCGGUACUGGGUGACUAGAGGACCGGAGAGGAUAGUGGAAUUCCCAGUGUAGUGGUGAAAUACGUAGAGAUUGGGAAGAACACCAGUGGCGAAGGCGGCUAUCUGGCCCGGUACUGACGCUGAGGUGCGAAAGCGUGGGGAGCAAACAGG
rnacentral:rRNA from 1 species